ACUAAGCGUACACAGUGGAUGCCCUGGCAGUCAGAGGCGAUGAAGGACGUGCUAAUCUGCGAUAAGCGUCGGUAAGGUGAUAUGAACCGUUAUAACCGGCGAUUUCCGAAUGGGGAAACCCAGUGUGUUUCGACACACUAUCAUUAACUGAAUCCAUAGGUUAAUGAGGCGAACCGGGGGAACUGAAACAUCUAAGUACCC
rnacentral:rRNA from 1 species